CUCUUCGAUGAACAAAGCAAACAGUUUCAUGAUUUCAAACACAGUCGUCAGUCCAAGAUUUUAAACACGGUCGUCAGUCCAAAUUCAAACACGAAACAAAAGUCAAAAAAACACUGGACAAUACCACAGAAAACAAUCCAGACAAAUAAGACCAAGACAAAGCAUCCUAUAACCAAUUUCCACAGAUGCCUGGUACCUUCAGUACCUGGCCCAAACUGCAGCUUAACCUUAGCUGCUUCCGGGAUACCAAACACAGAAACAGAAUACAGACAACAGACACUAACACAUCUAAGCACACUUGUCCGUGCCUAUACUUAAAUAGGCAGCCGAACUCGACCUCCAAAGUCACAGUCAGAUCUUUUUGACUGUCCGUUGCCGGGUCCUCCCGACAAAAUUCGGC
rnacentral:lncRNA from 1 species